CUGUUUGAAUGGUGUCUGUGAGUUUAACAGAACUCAUUUGGCAGGCCAAAACCUGAGAAGAUUCCAAACAGGAAGCGCCCUCUCUGACUAUUUCUUGGCCUUCUUGAUCAUCUCUAUCCAAAACAGGGGAUCUCUGCUGUAACGUGACAUUUUCAAACGCUCCCAUAGGCUCUCAGAAGGCGCCAGAAUGUUGAUUGAUGACUUUGCAGGCCAUGAUUGAAAAACAGUAGCGCAUUUGGAUAGUGGUCGAUCUAAGAACAAUAAGACUGGGGGCGCGUGCACGACUCCAUGUUUUUAUUUUUUCGUCUUACAACGAAAACAGGGUUUCCCGGACGGAAUAUUAUCGCUUUUUUAUGAGAAAAAUCAUAUAAAAAUUGAUUUUAAACAGCGGUUGACAUGCUUCGAAGUACGGUAAUGGAAUAUUUUGACAUUUUUUUGUCACGAAACGCGCUGGGCGCGUCACCCUUCUUUACCCUUCGGAUAGUGUCUUGAACGCACGAACAAAACGCCGCUAUUUGGAUAUAACUAUGGAUUAUUUGGAACCAAACCAACAUUUGUUAUUGAAGUAGAAGUCCUGGGAGUGCAUUCUGACGAAGAACAGCAAAGGGUCUUGCAGCACCGGUCUAGGUCUGCACCCUGGCUGUCUGCCUGUUCUCCAGAGCUGGCCUGCCUACAUCACCUACGUGUCUGACAUAGUCCGAGACCUGCAGGAGAGUGAGAAGAGGAGGGGAGAGAACUCUACCUGUGUCACUCAGACCGCAUGGGCGUCACCCCACCGCCAACAAGUCACAGGAGUGGCAGAUCAAGGCACCCUGACAACCCAUAGGUUGUUUCCAUGGCAACUAGACCAACAGGUCAUCUCCAGUCUCAGUGGAUGAAUAACUCAUCCUCUCCAGCGUCCUGCACAAAGUUUGACAUAUACAGCAACACACAAUCCCUUUCUUCUCCUCCUUCCAGUCUGCUGUCCAUCCCUCUCUCUCUUAGUUCCUGGUCCCCUCCCCUGACCUCUCCUUCUUCUGCCCCUCCGCCUCCUCUUUCUGAUAGUUCAGCCCCUUAGCGCCCUUCUUCUCCUCCAGCCUCCCUUCUUCCUUCUCUGUUUGGUAGGACAACCCCUUCCCUCCCUUCUCUAGCCUCCUCUCCUCUCUUUUCCCUUCCUUCUUCUCCUCCAGCCUCUCAUCCAUUCUCUUUCAGCACAGCCCUUUCUUUCCCUCCUUGUCUUUCUUCCCCUCCUCUCUUAGCAACCUCUCUCCUACCUUCUCAGUCCACCCAGGCUGUCCAUGGCCAUUCCUUUAGGAUGCUGUUCUGCAGGCAGGGGACAGAGAGAAGAGGGGAGAGCAAAGUAUGAGUUCAUGUUGUAGGUACAACCUUUAGUUAACUAAGCAAGUCAGUUAAGAACAAAUUCUUAUUUACAAUGACG
rnacentral:lncRNA from 1 species